GCGUCAAAAUGACUGUGAGCUAUG
rnacentral:ncRNA from 4 species